UUAGGUUCAGAUACAUUUAAAUCGAGGAAAUGUAAUGCAAUUCAAUUAUUUUCUCCAGAAAUUGAACUCAAUGACAAAGCAAGUUGAUGAACCAUUUGACUUGACGGUUCUAGAUGGGAUAUCUAAGAUGUAUUGAUGCAUUAAAUCACCUGCGAAUACAUCAAUCUUCUAAAUCAGAACAAGUUAGUGAAGUCAAACCGCACGUUGUCCUUAACGUCGAACCAGUAUUGCAGUCCCUUCAGAUCAAUUACAUCUCUGCCAAAAGCGUCUUUUGAUAUAUCAAACGGCAUUAGGUACUCCA